GAUGAACGCUGGCGGCGUGCCUAAUACAUGCAAGUCGAGCGAACGGACGAGAAGCUUGCUUCUCUGUUGUUAGCGGCGCACGGGUGUGUAACACGUGGAUACUCUACCUAUAAGACUGGUAUAACUUCGGGACACCGGCGCUAAUACCGUAUAAUAUUUUGAUCCGUAUGGUGCAAUAGUGAGAGACGGUCUUGCUGUCACUUCUAGAUGCAUCCGCGCUGCAUUAGCUAGUUGUUAAGGUCACGGCUUAUGACGGGAACGAUGCAUAACCGACGUGAGAGGGGGAUCGGCGACACGGGAACUGAGACACGGUCCAGAGUCCUACGAGAGGCAGCAGUAGGGAACCUUCCGCAAUGGGCGAAAGCAUGGCGGAGCAACGCGAAGCCAGUGAUGGAGGUGUUCGGAUCGUAAAACUCUGUUAUGGGGGAAGAACAUAUGUGUAAGUAAAUGAGCACAUCUUGACGGUAACUAAUCAGAAAGCCACGGCUAACUACGUG
rnacentral:rRNA from 1 species